UUAUCAACAAUGACAACGUAUUAGGGGCACGACCACCCGAUUCUAAACAGCAGCAUCUGAAACUAGUACUUUGCUCUUAUCCUUGAGCAUGGCACACUUAGACUCACCAACAAGCUGAUUCGGCUUACAAAACCUAGGAUCGGCAACAUAACAUGUACCGGCAAAACGGCCAAGAUGCUUAAAAGAGGCACAAUAUGCAGGGACCCACUCAAAAACAACAUCCUACCAAAAACUAGUAUCCCCCUCACCAAUCUAAAUACGUGGUAGCAAAGGCUGCAAAACAUCAUACUCAACAAGCACCCUAGUAACUGAAGGCUUAUUAAUUGAGGUCGUGGCAUGAUCAACACGUAAUGGGGUACCAAUGGCAACAAUAAUAGAAAACAAAGCAGACUUAAAAGCGAUAAAAUGCACAGGCAAAUAAGGUAAUGAUACCCAAAUAGGCACAAUAAGGGAUUCCAAUGAAUGACGGAAAUCAGUACUCCACUUAAAAAUUAGUAUUCCCCAACCAUUAAUAUACCAAGUCUGCCUCACCCAAAUAUGCGAGUAGUGUUCCUCCAAGAAUAGUUUAAUCAACAUAUGUGUAUUAUCAAGCAGAGACACCUGAAAACUCUCUUUUCAACCCUAAGGAAACAAAAAAUUUCCUAAUAAUAUCCAUCAAAAUGCAAUCAAAAGAAAACUUACUGACGGAGGAGCUUAAACGGUUCAGCUAUAACUUUUACUUCCUCUGCUGAGAACAGCACAACAAGCUCACCCCAAUACAACAAAGCUAGCUUAACUGGAAUAGUAACUGAAGCAGGGCCCACUACAAAGUUGAAGUAUAAGAGGGCUUAGAAUUAGAGUUUGGAUUGCGGGUUGCGGGAUUAAGAGGGGCUGACCAUUGUGUAUGUGAGAUACCAGCCGCGACAUCACUGGUGAUAAGUGGCGUAAGAUGAUAUGGGUCAUGGGAUAAGGUUUUUUAUAGCUGGUUUAUGUAUGCAACUAUAAGUUGAGAGCUAGAUCAUGACAAGACCAAGGUUGCAUGGCGUUGAGGCUUGUUGAAGGCACUAAUUGUAGCUGUAAGGUGGAUGUGUGAUGGUUAGGCAAAGGCUGGUUGAAGUUGUGAAGGGUGGCUGGCAAAGGAAAACCAUUGCACGCGGUAGUCAAAAGCUGUUGAGUAGUAGUUGAAUUAGUUUCAUGCAUAUGAUGGCGUGACUGUAAAGUUGUAGGUUGCUGAUUAGGGAGAUUAACUGACGACACAAAAUGCGAGGGGGACAAGGCAUCAGUUGGGGCAGCACCGUUGAGAAGGGCUGGGUUAGUGACAGCCAUUGUAACAUGCCAAAAAAUGAAAACUAAGGUAUGAUAAGGUGGAUUUGGUUUGAGGUAAUAGUGGUUGUUGUGGCUAUAGCGAAGGCAAGGCUCCAUCGGCGUGGAGCAGGGGUGGAUAAAGGGUUCAGUUGGGGAUGUCGCCAAUAGCCUGAAACGUGGCCGUAGUGGGCGAAGAAAAGCGGACAAUUUGACGUGAUUUAAGGCUAUGACUUGCAUCAAACCAUGACUGUGGCCGAGUUUGUCCAUCCUAAGUGGGGUCACAGAUGAAAUAAGGAACGUCUGACGAUGACAGAGUUGGUACGUCUUGGAUAAGAUGGCAGGUUAAGGGGCUGUCAAGACUGUGUGAUGUCACCGACGGUGGGGUGGGGCUCCGAUAGUGGCGGGACACCACCACCGGUGGCUAUUGAUGACAUGCCGGUGGCCAAAAAUGCAAAAGGAGUGGUGACUAGUUGUAUAUUUUAGAAGUCAACUUUUUUGACCUCUCACACCCCACCAUUGAAAACUUUAAUAUAUAAAUGUCAUGAGAGCUAAAUAAAUUCAUCUUAAUUAUUAGUAAAACCCUAAAUAAUAAACAAAAUUGAAGAUUUUCGGAGCAUCUUUACAUUAUUUUUUCAUUAAGCAUAUCAACAGCAAGCAGAAUACAAUAUCUGUAAAUUACAUGAACUGUAUUAGUCUAUUCGCUAAAUUAAGGAUAAUAUUUUGAUUCAAAGGCUAAGGCCUACUAAUUUUUGGCAAAGACAGGAUUUCACAUUUGAACAAAAGGAGUUAUAAAUCCUUAAUUUGCCAACAGAGGAACCCAAUUAAGAUCUAGGGAUGUCAAACAAUAUGUUGUUGUUUACUAAUAACAUCUGUAGAUAGGCUCAUUCCAGCAUAAGAUCCAUAAGUCUAUCCACCAUAUUUUAUGCAAUGAUUUCAAGUAAAAUGAAGCCAUCUUCCUACUCUAUAUAUAUGAAAAACAUGCCGUUGUUUUUUGUAAUUUUUUAUGUAUUUUCUUACACUACUACAAAAUUGGUCUUUAAUGACGAUUUUAAAGGACAAGAUUAUGGUUUUAAAACCAUCAUCUUAGGCAACGACAUUAAAAAGUGCACACUUUUUAUGACAGUUCAAAAACCGUCAUUAAAUGUAUACUUAUAAUGACGGUUAUUUUAGUAAAUAGUCACUAUAUGCCAAGGUACAUAAGUUUUAAUGUCCCUUUUUUUUGUCAAUGGCCAUCAUUAAAUAAACAUUCUUAAUGACGAUGAUUUUACUAAACAGUCAUUAUUUGCGAUAUACACUAGGGUUUUAAUGACAGUUUUUACUAAACCAUCAUUAAAAAGUACUGUUUAAUGACGGAUCUUUAAACAUCAAUCAUCAAUAGCACUUUUCCAUUUAUUUUUAACGAUGGUUUUGAAAAAAAAAAGUCAUUAAAUGUCAUUUUUUAAUGACGAUUAUAAAAAAAAGUUCAUUAGUAUAUAUUUUUAUUGACAUUUUUUUAACAAUCAUCAUUAAUGUACUUUUUAAUGAUGGCUUUCUAAUGAAACCGUCAUCUUAUAUUGUUCUUUGAUGACUGUUCUUAUAUAAGAACCAUCAUCUUUUGCAUGAGUAAAAGGAAAAAAAUAGCAAUUCAAAAUUACCAUACUUCAAUUUUUUUAAAAAUUAAAACUUGCAUAGUUUUUUUUUUUUUUUUGCAUUCUAAACUAUACAAACAUAUUUAAUAUUUCCUUCUUCAUCUGAAAAAAAAAAUACUACAACAUCAAAUUUCUCAUAAAGUCUUCAAUAACUACUUUUUAUAGUCCAUGUAAGUAGCAACACUAACUCCCUAAGUUUAAACAUAGAACACACAAGUUUUAAUGAGUAAAAAAUAAUAAUCAUUUACUUACAAAGUACUCAAAUACAAACAAGCAUAAUUAUAACAGUUUAGCACUUGCAUAACCUUGAUCAAACUAACUCCUAACAAUGAAAAAAUGUACUACAUGAAUUCUCAAAUUAAAAUUCAGUAUCAUGUAACUGUACACACAAAUAUAAACCAAAAAGCAAAUGGAGACUAUGUUUUCAGCUUACAUACAGUAGUAUUGGCACUUAGAACAUUUAUACCCAGCCAGCAAGCUUGCCCUUCAGAAACUAAAUCCUUAAUGCUCAUAAUUAUACACAUUGCAUGUUUUGCAAAGCAGUUCUUGCCUUGCAACUAGUCUUACCAAUGUAGUUUCUAUUAAAUCAAUACUUAUUGGAGCCUGAGUAUCACCAUUUUCAUUGGUUAGCUACAAAGAACAGGAACAAAAAAUUCAAAUCAAAAGGUAAAGCUAAACAAAUUAGCUUUUAAAGUAAAUGAAAAAAAGUGGAGCCUAAAAAAAUCUCAAGGAUCAUCAUUUACACUGAUUAGUUCAAUCUCGAUUUUAUGUUUACAGGCUCUUUAUUUAAGACAUGAAACUAGAAAACUUCUUCAUUUGUUGUGAACAAGAAUAAAUCUAAAAAUUCUGUCAAUCUUAUAUGGAUAAGCAAGAGGGGGAAAAAAACUCAAUUACCACAUUUUCAUAGGAACUUCAUUGCUAUAUUUAAGUUACUUGUUUUAGAGAGAGGAUGAACAAACAAAAAAUUCCUACAAUCCCACAUGCAACAUUUCUCGUAAAUAUGAUAACUUGGCUUACUAUAAUAUUGGAUACUCAACAAAGACUAGUUGAAAAAAUUACAUUAGCGACAGAGAUCAUGCUCACUGUACAACAACCAUAAUUUCAGCCAUCAAGAAGAAUACACAACUUGAUCAAGUAGCCACUGAUAACAUUUUCCUUUCACUUCCUAACAAUUAUCUUCAAACUAGCAUAUGAAUUCAGGCCAUGCUAAUUCUCUUAUUUUCUAAUGGAAGAGUAUAAUGAUCACAUUAAUCUAAUUCUACUACCAUGGAAAAUAAAGAGAAAAUAAAUAAUCAUAAAAAUUGGAUAAGCAGACAGUCAUAAUCUAGAUGCAAAACUAGUCGACAGUGGAAAUAAAUCAUCAUAUAAGGAAAUCUCAAGCAUAGAACCAACCUAGCAGAUCGGAUUUCCUUUAAAGCACACUUGUAGUGCACAAAAGAGCAAAUUUCAUCUCACAAACAAAUAAGUAAAUAAUUUGUACCUAUUGUUAUUGCAGCAAUCUAACCAAGCUAUAUUGAGAUACUAAUUAAUAAAUGGAGAAGCAAAUUUAAAAUAAAUCACGUGGGCCAAGAGAUAUUUAAUUCAACCAAUGAAUUAAUGCCACAUCCGUUUGUACAAAAUAAGUUUGUACAAAAAUUUGUGGUUAUAUCAUUACUCAUAUUUUUAUGUGGGGUAAAUAUCUAUGGGUGAGUUUUGGGAUAGACAUGAAAAAUAAAUUAUAAAACAGGGAUAUUUUUUACAUUAGCAAGUAAUUGACUUAAUUCAGAUUCUCCAUUAAGUAAAAAGCCAAAAAAAUUAGCUUAUUUUAUUAAGUCAAAAUUAUCUAAAAAGUCUCAUUAAGUUAUAAAAACAAACACCUCUAAUUAACUUAAUUAAUUAAGUUAAGUCACUUUAAGUCAUUAAGUUAAAAAACAAACGCCACCUUAGUCUGAAAUAAUUAACUUAAUUGCACUUGACACGUAUUUUUUCCUCAAAACCUUGAAGUAUUAUAAUAUUCCACCUAAGAUCAUUGUAAACCUCAGCACAAUGAAGAAGAACUAAAAAUGGAUAGUAAAUGGAUACUAAUAAGUAGGAAAUAAAUCAUUUGUGGGAUAAGAUGAAAACCUCUCGUAGUGUAUCGAAGAAAGAUUGAUAAUUUAUUAUUUAAUUAACUGACAUAGGUAACAUUUCAGGAGUCUAUUUUGAUUUAAUGUGCAUGGAUGCCUAUCAUUCUAUCUAAAGAACUGGAAUAACAUCAUAGAUAUAAGGAUAUAGGAACAAAAUCUUAGAUUGUUAAAUUUCUUAUUAGAAAAAAAAAAGACAACAAGAACAUCUCAGCUUGUUUCCAAGGAGGCCCUCAGAAAUUUGCUCAAGAAUAAAUUUAAAAGAAAUGAAUAAUUAAUAAGUAUUAUGAGGACAUAUUUAGAAUUUCAAGCUACUACAUAAGUUAAAUUACCUUAUCACAAAGAAUGCAAACUUUUUCAAGGUUUACCUCUUGGGAAGUUUGGAAGACUUCCAAGAGAUAUAAUUUGAUUUCCACAACAACAUAUAGUUGCUGCAAAACUGAUAAAUUUUAUUUCAUUAUAACUUCAACAUUCUUUUAUCAAAUGCGAGAUAAACAAAACAAGACAAAUUUGUAAGGACUAGCAAUUCUCUAGAGAUUCAAAUCUUGGCCCUUUAAAUGUUUACACAUGAAUAUAUUGAAGAACUAUAAUUUCAAAGGAAAAGAAAAAGAACAAAGAAUUAAAAAUUUAACAAAUAGAAUUUGACGAUCCAACAUUCAGAAAUUGAGUUUGUGCAAAUAAAUUUGAUCCAAAAGAUUCAACCAUAUCUUUGCAACAUGUUAUAACUGAUUUUUUAAAUAUAUUUUUUCAUAGCAAAUACUUGUGGUUUUAGCAAAAUUAAGUACAAAAAUAUAUUUAAAUCAAAUGUUGGGUGGAUUGAAAUAGAAAUUCAAAAGAUUAAAAAAAUAUAUAGCUUAUUCAAGACAAGAACACAAUGUAAAUGGUGCUAAAAUUUGUUACCUCUAAGAUUACAACUAAUAAAUAGAUUGUAAAGGAGAAGAAGUUGCUACCUAUUCAUUGGUUUCAAUUAUAGCUAUAUGAAGAUGUAAGCCUUUCCAUUUAGCACUCCAUACAGACCACGAGGGAUAUGAAAAUAUAUCAUCAUCAUCAAAUAAAAAAAAAACUAAUAAUUUUACCAAAUGUAAACAAGAAAAUAUAUUAUAAAAAAUAAAUAUUCAACUAAUUAAUCUUCAAUUAUACCUGUUUAUUAAAAAAAUAAAAGGGAAUUACUUUGGACAUAAGAAUAAACAGCAAAACAAAUAAAAAAAUUACAGGCAAAAAACAGCACCAAGAAGUUCUAGGCAAUAAAGCAUGACGACAUCCAAAAAUCCAGGUGUUGUUUUUUAACAAUAAACAAUAGCAUGAAAGCACCUAGAAAAUUUUUGGGUGCUAUCCAGCUACUGUACUUAGGUUAAAAACAACAUCGCUGCUAAUUUUAACAGCAAACAAAGCAUAGCACAACCAGAAAUUUUUUGGGUGCUGACCAACUAUUGUAUUUUUGUUAAAGACAGCACAAUUUGCUAUUUUUAAUAGCAAACAACAGCAUGACAACACCCAGAAAAUUUUUUGAGUGUUGUACAGUUACUGCAUUUAGGUUAAAAAUAGCAGGCGAUGCUAUUUUUAAUAGCAAACAGAGCAUAGCACACCUAGAAAAUUUUUGGGUGCUGACCAGCUGUUAUAUUUGGGUUAAAACCUAGUGCUGUUUUUAACAACAAACAACAGCAUGACAGCAUCCAAAAACUUUUUUGGGUGCUGACAGGCUACUGUAUUUGGGUUAAAAACAACACCUGGAAAACAACAGCAUGACUUUUGAAAUGAAAUGAAAAUAGUUUUUCAAGUAUGUAGGCGAGUCUCCAAAUUCAAGCAGCAAUCAAAUCCUCUGCAAUAUAACAUGAUUAAUCCUCCCACAAGUCAUUGGCUAAUGUGUAUACAAUUACAUAUAUAAAGAUUUAAGGGGAAAGCUUGCGAACUCAAACAACAGAUGUAUAAAAAUUAGAGCAGCAAUGUCCAAAUCAAAGAUUGUGAAUAAUUUGCCAACAUACAUGUGAUUAGCCACACUCGAGAACAAAACUCAUGUCAUUUUAUAGUUCUAGGGUUCAGUCAUUUCAAAAAAUUAGUUCAUUUAAGAGGAGAAACUUUAGAAUAAAAUCAUUUUCUCAAUACAGUACAACAACCAGUAUCAGGGUUUUUAACUACACAUUUAGGAGUCAAAUUUUUCAAGAAUUUUUACUAAAAUUGAUGUGCAAGAGAAGAUAAUAACAAAAAUUACCUGUUUUAAUCGUUCAAUCGGGCUUAAUCAACUGUGGGUUCUUAGUUAGGGUUUUGCAAUUCAAUGGCGGCAACACAUGCGCUCGGUGGGUACUUCGUAUGGUUCUUAAUGAGGGCCAAAUCGAUGGCAAAAGACGAGACAAUGUCUGC
rnacentral:lncRNA from 1 species